rnacentral:rRNA from 2 species
GAUGAACGCUAGCGGGAGGCUUAACACAUGCAAGUCGAGGGGCAUCACGAGGUAGCAAUACUUUGGUGGCGACCGGCGCACGGGUGAGUAACACGUAUGCAACCUACCCUGUACAGGGGGAUAACCCGGAGAAAUUCGGACUAAUAUCCCAUGAUGAUAUUGAGGGGCAUCCUUUAAUAUUUAAAGCUCAGGCGGUACGGGAUGGGCAUGCGGAACAUUAGCUAGUUGGCAGGGUAACGGCCUACCAAGGCUACGAUGUUUAGGGGACCUGAGAGGGUUAUCCCCCACACUGGUACUGAGACACGGACCAGACUCCUACGGGAGGCAGCAGUGAGGAAUAUUGGUCAAUGGGCGCAAGCCUGAACCAGCCAUCCCGCGUGAAGGAAGAAGGCGCUAUGCGUUGUAAACUUCUUUUCCAGGGGGUGAAUAAUUCCGAUGUAUCGGGAGAUGACGGUACCCUGGGAAUAAGCAUCGGCUAACUCCGUG